rnacentral:rRNA from 1 species
CAGCAGUAGCCGCGGGAAAACGUAGGUGGCAAGCGUUAUCCGGAAUUAUUGGGCGUAAAGCGCGCGUAGGCGGUUUUUUAAGUCUGAUGUGAAAGCCCACGGCUCAACCGUGGAGGGUCAUUGGAAACUGGAAAACUUGAGUGCAGAAGAGGAAAGUGGAAUUCCAUGUGUAGCGGUGAAAUGCGCAGAGAUAUGGAGGAACACCAGUGGCGAAGGCGACUUUCUGGUCUGUAACUGACGCUGAUGUGCGAAUGCGUGGGGAUCAAACAGGAUUAGAUACCCGUGUAGUCCCUGUCUCUUAUAC